rnacentral:rRNA from 1 species
AUACAGAGGGUGCAAGCGUUAAUCGGAAUUACUGGGCGUAAAGCGCGCGUAGGUGGUUCAGUAAGAUGGAAGUGAAAUCCCCGGGCUUAACCUGGGAACUGCUUUCAUAACUGCUGAGCUAGAGUACGGUAGAGGGUAGUGGAAUUUCCUGUGUAGCGGUGAAAUGCGUAGAUAUAGGAAGGAACACCAGUGGCGAAGGCGACUUCAUGGACUGAUACUGACACUGGUGUGCGAAUGCGUGGGGAGCAAACAGGAUUCGAUACCCUGGUAGCCCACGCCGUAAACGAUGUCAACUAGCCGUUGGGAGCCUUGAGUUCUUAGUGGCGCAGCUAACGCACUAAGUUGACCGCCUGGGGAGUACGGUCGCAAGAUUAAAACUCAAAUGAAUGGACGGGG